rnacentral:tRNA from 1 species
UCGGGGGUAGCUCAAUGGUAGAGCGCCGUCCUGUUAAGUCGGUGGUUGACGGUUCGAGUCCGUCCCCCCGAG